UACAGAGGGUGCGAACGUUAAUCGGAAUUACUGGGCGUAAAGCGCGUGUAGGCGGUUGCCCAAGUCGGGUGUGAAAGCCUUGAGCUCAACUCAAGAAAUGCACUCGGUACUGGGUGACUAGAGGACCGGAGAGGAUAGUGGAAUUCCCAGUGUAGUGGUGAAAUACGUAGAGAUUGGGAAGAACACCAGUGGCGAAGGCGGCUAUCUGGACGGUUUCUGACGCUAAGACGCGAAAGCGUGGGGAGCAAACAGG
rnacentral:rRNA from 1 species